UAGUUAAAGAGUAGGCCUGGAAAUCACCCC
rnacentral:piRNA from 1 species